rnacentral:lncRNA from 1 species
UCUCCUGGCCUCCAUGGGCGUUGUAUGUAUGUGUAGUACAUGCACAUAUACACUUGGUGUAAGAUGAACUUCCACACCUCGGUGAGCUGCCCAGAAAGUGUUGACAAAGCAGACGUAAAACACUGAGGACCGCACAAGGCACAGACACACACGGUUACACAGAGGGAGAGAAUGGUUCCUAGGACACAAGCCGCAAGUGUCGAUGUACUAACUGUCUUAACAAAUCAAUACAAAGGUGAAAUGUCACAAAAGGGUGAGUCUAUCCAACAGAAGCCUAGGCACAAAGUUACUGAGGCAAAGGAUGGCAGGGUCUAGCCUCACACUGAGAAAAGGGAUGAGACCAAAAGAGUCCAGCUUUUUUAUCCACAGACAAGGACAACAGAUAAGGAUACAUUGUACUGUCUUGGGCCAAACUCAUUAAGCAUGGAACCCAGGCAUCCCAGAACUUAAGAGGUAAACAUGGGAAGAUCAAGAGUUCAAAACCAUGAGGAAAAUACCUAAUAAAAAAUGUAAA